GAGGGUGUAGCUCAAGUGGUAGAGCGUGUGCUUAGCAUGCACAAGGUCCUGGGUUCCAUCCCCAGUACCUCCU
rnacentral:tRNA from 1 species